rnacentral:rRNA from 1 species
GGCGCAAGGGUGCGUAACACGUGGGUAAUCUGCCAUGAAGUUUGGGAUAAUCCCGCGAAAGCGGGACUAAUACCGGAUGUGACCAUUGGGAGGCCUCUUUUGAUGGUUAAAGUUGGGGACCGCAAGGCCUGACGCUUCAUGAUGAGCCCGCGGCCUAUCAGCUAGUUGGUGAGGUAACGGCUCACCAAGGCUAAGACGGGUAGCUGGUCUGAGAGGACGACCAGCCACACUGGAACUGAGACACGGUCCAGACACCUACGGGUGGCAGCAGUCGAGAAUUUUUCACAAUGGGCGCAAGCCUGAUGGAGCGACGCCGCGUGGGGGAUGAAUGGCUUCGGCCCGUAAACCCCUGUCAUUUGCGAUCAAAGCUCAUGAUUUAAAAGAUGAUGAGUUGAUAGUAGCGAAAGAGGAAGGGACGGCUAACUCUGUGCCAGCAGCCGCGGUAAUACAGAGGUCCCAAGCGUUGUUCGGAUUCACUGGGCGUAAAGGGUGCGUA